ensembl:lncRNA
CAAGCCGUGGCUGCGGCAGUCUCCUCUUUGCUUUCUUAUUUCUAUCUUUGCCAUCCUACAGUCUAUUCUCCACAUGGUGGUCAGAGGGAUCUUCUUAUUAGCCAGUGGCCCUUUGCUCUCGUGACUGCCCAUUUUGCUAAGAAAAAACCCCACAUCCUUAUUCUGGCCUCCUCCAUCUCGUUCCUGGAAACCUCUCUGAUCUUCUCACCUACAUCCUUCUCCUCACACACGCCCUCGGCCAGUGCGACCUGGCACCAAUCUCUCUCGCCUCACUUGCCUUUUCCUCUGCCCAGGCUGGGCCUACCUCCUUCCCUUCUUCAUUUGGAGUUCUGCUCAGAUGGUACCCAUCUUAGCUUCCUAGGGCUGCUGUAAAAAUCACCACAAUCUGGGUGGCUUCAAACAAUAGAAAUGUUUUCUCAGUGCAGGAGGCUAGAAUCAAAAUGUUGACAGGGUCAUGCUCCAUCUAAGUCUCUGCGGAAGAAUCCUUCCUUGCCUCUCCCAGCUUCUGGUGACCCCAGGCAUUCCUCAGCUUGUGGCAGCAUCUCUCCAGUCUCUGCCUCCAUCUUCACAUGGUCUUCUUCUCUCUGUGUUUGUGUUCUCUCCUCUUCUUAUGAGGACACCAGGCCUUGGAUUUAGGGCCCACACUGAAUCCAGUAUAAUCUCAUUUUGAGAUCUUCAACUAAUUACAUUCACAAUGACCCUCUUGACAAAUAAAUUCACAUCCCAAGGUUCUGUGUGGACAGGAAUUUGGGGGUGUCACUAUUCAACCCACUAUCCACCUUAUCAGAAAGGACUUCUUUGACAACCAAUCUGAAAUAGCUCCCCCACAUCCCAACUACUCAUCCCCCAACCCUGCUUUAUUUUUUUCAUAGCACGUAUCACCACUUACAGUCUAUAUAUUUAUUUGUUUACUGUCUGUCUCCCUCUACUUGAUUUUGAGCUUCUGGGACAAAGACUUUGAUCUGUCUUGAUUAUAGAUGUAUUCCCAGUGCCCAAACCAAGGGCCUCCCUAAAAUGGGUACGCAGCUAGUAUGUACUGAAUCAACGAAUUAGUCACAGACUUGGGGUUGCCCAGCACAGGCUCGGUCUCUCCUGGCCUCUGCAACUCCAGACCCAUCCAGCCAAUAGAGAUCCUCUCCUGCUCAGAAUCAGGGCUCACCUAGCCCAUUUUCUGGCGCACAUUUCUCUCACUAACCAUGCAGUCUCCCCAACGGAAAUGGAAACACCUGGAGCGACUGGGGGCUUAAGUGCCAUGAACAGCAGUCAGUGAGCAGGCUGAUGGAGGAGAUGAAAGUGCUUGCUUCUCUUAACUCCUCGUUCUCAGUGCAGACUGUGUCUUCUAUGCCUGUAUCCCCGCACCUAGCACAGUACCACCAUCAUGGCGGGCACACAAUGAAUGAAUGGAUGGAUGAGUGAAUGAAGGGAAUAGAGCCAAAUGGUCACCUCUGACAUUGACCUUCAUCUCUAAGGGGCUGGCCCCGUGGCCGAGUGGUUAAGUUCGCGCGCUCCGCUGCAGGCAGCCCAGUGUUUUGUUGGUUCGAAUCCUGGGCGCGGACAUGGCACUGCUCGUCAGACCACGCUGAGGCAGCGUCCCACGUGCCACAACUGGAAGAACCCACAACGAAGAAUAUACAACUAUGUACCGGGGGGCUUUGGGGAGAAAAAGGAAAUAAUAAAAUCUUUAAAAAUAAAAAAUUUACUUUUAAAUUU